rnacentral:rRNA from 1 species
GGCAAACGGCUGAGUAACGCGUGGGUGAUCUACCCCAGAGAGGGGAAUAACCCGCCGAAAGGCGGACUAAUUCCGCAUACCCUCCACCGUGUAAAGGCAGUGGUGGAAAGGGUUCCGGGCAACCGGCGCCGCUCUGGGAGGAACUCGCGUCCUAUCAGGUUGUUGGUGGGGUAACGGCCUACCAAAUGCCUAAGACGGGUAGCUGGUGUGAGAGCACGACCAGCCAGAGGGGGACUGAGACACGGCCCCCACUCCUACGGGAGGCAGCAGCAGGGAAUCUUGCACAAUGGGCGAAAGCCUGAUGCAGCGACGCCGCGUGAGGGACGAAGGCUUUAGGGUUGUAAACCUCUUUUCUCAGGGAAGAGCAAGGACGGUACCUGAGGAAUAAGCCACGGCUAACUACGUGCCAGCAGCCGCGGUAAUACGUAGGUGGCAAGCGUUGUCCGGAAUUAUUGGGCGUAAAGGGUCCGUAGGCUGUUUUGUAAGUCUCCUGUGAAAACUCCAGGCUCAACUUGGAGCGGUCGGGGGAUACUGCGAGACUAGAGGCUGUCAGAGGAAAGCGGAAUUCCCGGUGUAGUGGUGAAAUGCGUAGAUAUCGGGAGGAACAUCAGUGGCGAAAGCGGCUUUCUGGGACAGUUCUGACGCUGAGGGACGAAAGCGUGGGGAGCAAACCGGAUUAGAUACCCGGGUAGUCCACGCCCUAAACGAUGGAUGCUAGGUUUGUGGGGUAUCGACCCCCUGCGAGCCAAAGCUAACGCGAUAAGCAUCCCGCCUGGGGACUACGGCCGCAGGCUAAACUCAAGGAUUGACGGGGGCCCGCACAAGCAGCGGAGCGUGUG